GACGAACGCUGGCGGCGUGCCUAAUACAUGCAAGUUGAGCGCUGAAGGUUGGUACUUGUACCAACUGGAUGAGCAGCGAACGGGUGAGUAACGCGUGGGGAAUCUGCCUUUGAGCGGGGGACAACAUUUGGAAACGAAUGCUAAUACCGCAUAAAAACUUUAAACACAAGUUUUAAGUUUGAAAGAUGCAAUUGCAUCACUCAAAGAUGAUCCCGCGUUGUAUUAGCUAGUUGGUGAGGUAAAGGCUCACCAAGGCGAUGAUACAUAGCCGACCUGAGAGGGUGAUCGGCCACAUUGGGACUGAGACAUGGCCCAAACGCCUACGGGAGGCAGCAGUAGGGAAUCUUCGGCAAUGGACGAAAGUCUGACCGAGCAACGCCGCGUGAGGGAAGAAGGUUUUCGGAUCGUAAAACUCUGUUGGUAGAGAAGAACGUUGGUGAGAGUGGAAAGCUCAUCAAGUGACGGUAACUACCCAGAAAGGGACGGCUAACUACGUG
rnacentral:rRNA from 1 species